GAAUAAAUAAAAAUAUAUAUAUUGCGUUUUUGAAAUAAUUUUAGGAUUCAAUAACAAAAUUCGUGGCAAAAUGAACGGAAAAUUGUUAUUCGUUACAUUUUUAGUACUGUCAUGCUUUUAUGCAACAGUUAGUUGUGAACCAAAUCCUAUCCCAGAACCGGGUGGUGACACGAUUAGUGUGAACCCAACGAACACAGCAAGUAACAGCAAUGGGCAAUCAACUCAAGGCAAACAGAAUCAGAAUCACAAGCCUUAGCUUUUGUCAAUGAGUUUGAUGUUGGAUCAAUCUUCACAUGAACCGCAUUCAACAAAAAUAUAUUGCUGAAAAAAUAAAUUUUUGUUUAUUA